rnacentral:lncRNA from 1 species
GAUUAGCAGCAGCACCAGCAGCACAGUCGGUGGCGGCUGGGACGAUGGAGGAGGAGGGUGACCCUCUCCAGGGCGUGUUUUGGACAGGAACCAACCCCACCCUGGAAGGAUCUCCCCCACUGCACAGUUAGCAGGAGUUCCAGCUUCUGCCUCCAGACACAGACCCAGAACGGGUAGAUGCUCUGACUGUCGGUGCUCUCCUGCUUUGUGUCCACCUGUGCUUAGACUUGGAAGAAAGGACCGUGGAAGAGGCCACACAGGCCCGCUGAGCUGCAGGCCCCAAGUCCCUGGCAAACCUCCCUGCACGGUGGUCUUGCCCACGACUCAGUGUGGGGUCCCGGGCCUGGGAGUCUGUAUUUCUAGUGGGUUCCCGGGCAGCCUGUGUGCUUUGGGUCCUUGAACCUCAGGCAAGGACUCCAGCUGCCCCCAGGCUCAGCUUCCGCCCACCUGCCCCAGGAGCUGAGAGCAGAGACAGGCUCUCGCAUUCCCUUCCAACACCCCAAGCUCCCCCCGCACUGGAUCCUCUCUGUCCCCCCUCCACCCCACCUCCCACCCCCGACUGGGUGCCCCCAUGCUGAGCCUCCCUGUCUCCCCACCCACUCGGAUCAGCUGUCCUCCCCAGCCCUGCCCUCCGGUCUGGGUCUGCGCACGUGGUGGGAGCAAGCUGCGGUGUGCAGCUGAUGUGCCAAUGUCCCCUCCCACUGUGGCUCCGCCUCGCCAGCCUUCACACACCUGUGGGCCCAGUGUCCCUGACACCCGCAGGCUGGGCCUUGCUCUCUGCAGAGAAGCUUCUAAAAGUGACUUCACCUCAAAGGGAGAACACCAACCACACUGACCAGGCCGACCUUGACGGUCAGUGCAGAGUGGCUGUCCAGCCUGGCUCCCUGGCCUUCUCUAGAGAGGCUCGGUGGCCACCUGGGGGCAGCUGGCAGGCUUUUCCUGCUUUGUAUCUUUUAAAAAUAUUUGAUGUUCUGCCAAGUAGAAAUCAGUUGAUGUAUUUUUUUCUCUAGUUCCCAGGUUACUUUUACUACGUCAUUUUAAUUUAAUUGUAUAUUACUUAUAUAAAAAUAGGCAUUCGUAGGAGAGAAUUAUUUCCUCUGAAUUGAUGACAAGUAAUUUCUCUUUUAAAUGUUUUUCUUUCAUAAUACACCAAAACUUAUCUGAAAUGUAAUAAAAGGAUGAUAGGUAAUUAAAU